GACGAACGCUGGCGGCGUGCCUAAUACAUGCAAGUAGAACGCACAGUUUAUACCGUAGCUUGCUACACCAUAGACUGUGAGUUGCGGACGGGUGAGUAACGCGUAGGUAACCUGCCUGGUAGCGGGGGAUAACUAUUGGAAACGAUAGCUAAUACCGCAUAAUAUUAAUUAUUGCAUGAUAAUUAAUUGAAAGGUGCAAUUGCACCACUACCAGAUGGACCUGCGUUGUAUUAGCUAGUAGGGGAGGUAACGGCUCACCUAGGCGACGAUACAUAGCCGACCUGAGAGGGUGAUCGGCCACACUGGGACUGAGACACGGCCCAGACUCCUACGGGAGGCAGCAGUAGGGAAUCUUCGGCAAUGGACGAAAGUCUGACCGAGCAACGCCGCGUGAGUGAAGAAGGGUUUCGGAUCGUAAAGCUCUGUUGUAAGAGAAGAACGGGUGUGAGAGUGGAAAGUUCACACUGUGACGGUAUCUUACCAGAAAGGGACGGCUAACUACGUG
rnacentral:rRNA from 1 species